rnacentral:misc_RNA from 1 species
GCAAACUUGGUCAUUUAGAGGAAGUAAAAGUCGUAACAAGGUUUCCGUAGGUGAACCUGCGGAAGGAUCAUUACCGAAGUGAGGGUUCCGUACCUGGAACCCAAUCUCCCACCCGUGUUUUAACUAUACUGUGUUGCUUCGGCGGGCCCACUGGGCCCUUGUUCCCGGUCGCCGGGGGGCGCAAAACCCCCGGGCCCGUGCCCGCCGGAGACCCCCAGAAACUCUUGUUUGAAUGAGUUGGUCUGAGCAACAAUGAUAAUCAUAAAACUUUCAACAACGGAUCUCUUGGUUCCGGCAUCGAUGAAGAACGCAGC